rnacentral:rRNA from 1 species
GACGAACCGUGCAAACGUUAUUCGGAAUCACUGGGCAUAAAGGGCUCGUAGGUGGCCAACUAAGUCAGACGUGAAAUCCCUCGGCUUAACCGGGGAACUGCGUCUGAUACUGGAUGGCUUGAGUUUGGGAGAGGGACGCGGAAUUCCAGGUGUAGCGGUGAAAUGCGUAGAUAUCUGGAGGAACACCGGUGGCGAAGGCGGCGUCCUGGACCAACACUGACACUGGUGAGCGAAAGCCAGGGGAGCAAACGGG